rnacentral:misc_RNA from 1 species
GGACCCACCACGGCGAGGUCCA